GCAAGUAAGAACAUAACAUUACUACUGUUCAUACGUGGGAGAUGGAGGAACUGCAUUAAGAGCCCAUCAGAUAGGAAAACUUGGGGUGAGAACCAUAUGGAUGGGAAGAAAUAACCUAGACCCAAGUCUACAUAUUGCAAAACAGGAGGCCAAGCACUGAAACAGCAUCUAACAAAAAGAUUGAGGCUGAUCUUCUGAUAAGGAUGAAAGAGAAUGAAGGGUGCAAGUUGAGCUUGUCACAGAGGCUGUAUCACAAACCUCAUAACAGGACCACUAGAGGAGUGAA